AUCAUUUAUUAAAUACUUUCCAUGGGCCAGACAGCACAUACAUUAGAUCUCUAACAUUUCAUCACUCACAAAAGUAUGUGUAUAUACUAAAGACUACCCAAUAAUAACUAAGGUUCUCAUAUCUUUUCAAGUAGGUUUUUUUUUCCCCCAGUGCUGAAGUCAAACCCAGGCUCUCAAACAUCCUAGGCAAACACUCUACCACUGAGCUAUAUCAACAGCUCUUCAAGAAGUUUUGAGUGCAAACAUCUAGGUAUAUUCAUAGCCAUCAUAAGAGAAAUGACAAGUGGCUCAUGCCUGUGAUGCUGUUACUCAGGAGGCUGAGAUCUGAGG